rnacentral:rRNA from 1 species
UACGUAGGGUGCAAGCGUUGUCCGGAAUUAUUGGGCGUAAAGAGCUCGUAGGCGGUCAGUCGCGUCUGCUGUGAAAACUCGGGGCUUAACUCCGGGCCUGCAGUGGAUACGGGCAGACUAGAGUCAGGUAGGGGAGAACGGAAUUCCUGGUGUAGCGGUGAAAUGCGCAGAUAUCAGGAGGAACACCGGUGGCGAAGGCGGUUCUCUGGGCCUGUACUGACGCUGAGGAACGAAAGCGUGGGGAGCGAACAGG